UGUGUGGUGGUAUGUAUAUAGUACUGUAUGUGUGGUGGUAUGUAUAUAGUACUGUAUGUGUGGUGGUAUGUAUACUGUACUAUAUGUGUGGUGGUAUGUAUACUGUACUGUAUGUGUGGUGGUAUGUAUACUGUACUGUAUGUGUGGUGGUAUGUAUACUGUACUGUAUGUGUGGUGGUAUGUAUAUAGUACUGUAUGUGUGGUGGUAUGUAUACAGUACUGUACUGUAUGUGUGGCGGUAUGUAUACAGUACUGUACUGUAUGUGUGGUGGUAUGUAUACUGUACUGUAUGUGUGGAGGUAUGUAUACUGUACUAUAUGUGUGGUGGUAUGUAUACUGUACUAUAUGUGUGGUGGUAUGUAUACAGUACUGUAUGUGUGGAGGUAUGUAUACAGUACUGUA
ensembl:lncRNA